rnacentral:rRNA from 1 species
AAGCGUUAUUCAGUAUGAUUGGGGGUAAAGAGUGCGUAGAGUACUUUACAAGUUUAGUUGAAAAUACCGGAUUUAUAGUUUGGAAGAAACUAAAGACUGUAUUGUUUGAGUCAAAUGGGCGGUGGGAAAACUUCUGGAGUAGCGCUUAAAUGUGUUGAUACCUGAAAGAAGACCGAAUGGCGAAGGCGCCUGCCGAAGUUUGUACUGACCUUGAGGUGACGAAGGCGCGGGGAUCAAACGGG